rnacentral:rRNA from 1 species
AGAGUUUGAUCAUGGCUCAGAACGUACGCUGGCGGCACGCCUAACACAUGCAAGUCGAACGAAGUAGCAAUACUUAGUGGCAGACGGGUGAGUAACAUGUAGGUAUCUGCCCUUUGGCCUGGAAUAACACGAGGAAACUUGUGCUAAUACCGGAUAAGUCUUUACGGAGAAAGCUUUAUGCACCAUUGGAUGAGCCUGCACUUGAUUAGUUUGUUGGUGGGGUAAUGGCCUACCAAGACUGUGAUCAAUAGCUGAUUUGAGAGGAUGAUCAGCCACAUUGGGACUGAGACACGGCCCAAACUCCUACGGGAGGCAGCAGUGGGGAAUCUUGCACAAUGGAGGAAACUCUGAUGCAGCGAUGCCGCGUGAGUGAAGAAGGCCCUUGGGUUGUAAAGCUCUUUCGUCGGGGAAGAAAAUGACUGUACCCGAAUAAGAAGGUCCGGCUAACUUCGUGCCAGCAGCCGCGGUAAUACGAAGGGACCUAGCGUAGUUCGGAAUUACUGGGCUUAAAGAGUUCGUAGGUGGUUGAAAAAGUUAGUGGUGAAAUCCCAGAGCUUAACUCUGGAACUGCCAUUAAAACUUUUCAGCUAGAGUAUGAUAGAGGAAAGCAGAAUUUCUAGUGUAGAGGUGAAAUUCGUAGAUAUUAGAAAGAAUACCAAUUGCGAAGGCAGCUUUCUGGAUCAUUACUGACACUGAGGAACGAAAGCAUGGGUAGCGAAGAGGAUUAGAUACCCUCGUAGUCCAUGCUGUAAACGAUGUGUGUUAGACGUUGGAAAUUUAUUUUUCAGUGUCGCAGCAAAAGCGUUAAGCACACCGCCUGGGGAGUACGACCGCAAGGUUAAAACUCAAAUGAAUUGACGGGGACCCGCACAAGUAGUGGAGCAUGUGGUUUAAUUCGAAGAUACGCGCAGAACCUUACCAACACUUGACAUGUUCGUCGCGACUCUAAGAGAUUAGAGUUUUCGGUUCGGCCGGACGAAACACAGGUGCUGCAUGGCUGUCGUCAGCUCGUGUCGUGAGAUGUUGGGUUAAGUCCCGCAACGAGCGCAACCC